rnacentral:rRNA from 1 species
ACGAGUGCGGGUCUUUGGGCCACCUCCCAUCCGUGUCUAUUGUACCCUGUUGCUUCGGCGGGCCCGCCGCUUGUCGGCCGCCGGGGGGGCGCCUCUGCCCCCCGGGCCCGUGCCCGCCGGAGACCCCAACACGAACACUGUCUGAAAGCGUGCAGUCUGAGUUGAUUGAAUGCAAUCAGUUAAAACUUUCAACAAUGGAUCUCUUGGUUCCGGCAUCGAUGAAGAACGCAGCGAAAUGCGAUAACUAAUGUGAAUUGCAGAAUUCAGUGAAUCAUCGAGUCUUUGAACGCACAUUGCGCCCCCUGGUAUUCCGGGGGGCAUGCCUGUCCGAGCGUCAUUGCUGCCCUCAAGCCCGGCUUGUGUGUUGGGUCGCCGUCCCCCUCUCCGGGGGGACGGGCCCGAAAGGCAGCGGCGGCACCGCGUCCGAUCCUCGAGCGUAUGGGGCUUUGUCACAUGCUCUGUAGGAUUGGCCGGCGCCUGCCGACGUUUUCCAACCAUUCUUUCCAGGUUGACCUCGGAUCAGGUAGGGAUACCCGCUGAACUUAAGCAUAUCAAUAA